rnacentral:rRNA from 1 species
CCUACGGGAGGCAGCAGUAAGGAAUAUUGGUCAAUGGACGAAAGUCUGAACCAGCCAUGCCGCGUGGAGGAUGAAUGCCCUCUGGGUUGUAAACUUCUUUUAUAUGGGACGAAAAAGGGCCUUUCUAGGUCAACUGACGGUACCAUGUGAAUAAGCACCGGCUAACUCCGUGCCAGCAGCCGCGGUAAUACGGAGGGUGCAAGCGUUAUCCGGAUUCACUGGGUUUAAAGGGUGCGUAGGUGGGUUGGUAAGUCAGUGGUGAAAUCCCCGAGCUUAACUUGGGAACUGCCAUUGAUACUAUCAGUCUUGAAUACCGUGGAGGUUAGCGGAAUAUGUCAUGUAGCGGUGAAAUGCUUAGAUAUGACAUAGAACACCAAUUGCGAAGGCAGCUAGCUACUCGAAUAUUGACACUGAGGCACGAAAGCGUGGGGAUCAAACAGGAUUAGAUACCCUGGUAGUCCACGCCCUAAACCUAUGGAUACUCGACAUUUGCGAUACACUGUAAGUGUCUGAGNGAAGANAUAGUAGUCCACCGNGGAGUAAGUAGUACGCGAGAGUUAGUUAACGUACGAAGAAGUUAGAGGCGNGAGAGNGCGACGGACGACGACGAGGGAGGAGG